UGGGGAAUAUUGGGCAAUGGGCGAAAGCCUGACCCAGCAACGCCGCGUGAAGGAAGAAGGCUUUCGGGUUGUAAACUUCUUUUAUCAGGGACGAAGGAUGUGACGGUACCUGAUGAAUAAGCCACGGCUAACUACGUGCCAGCAGCCGCGGUAAUACGUAGGUGGCAAGCGUUGUCCGGAUUUACUGGGUGUAAAGGGCGCGUAGGCGGAGAGACAAGUCAGAUGUGAAAUCUAUGGGCUUAACCCAUAAACUGCAUUUGAAACUAUCUCCCUUGAGUGAUGGAGAGGCAAGCGGAAUUCCUAGUGUAGCGGUGAAAUGCGUAGAUAUUAGGAGGAACACCAGUGGCGAAGGCGGCUUGCUGGACAUUAACUGACGCUGAGGCGCGAAAGCGUGGGGAGCAAACA
rnacentral:rRNA from 1 species